UUCGCGAUGUUUUUUCAAAAGAACGUCAUCCGCGGCACGCAUUUCGAGCAGGGAUAGCCCUCUUCAAACUGAAAUAGAAAUAUGUUCCUGACGUCAUAUCGAUCUAAUUUUGUUAUCCAAUGAAAGAGCAGGGUUUCUUUUUCCUUUUGGUACCAGUCAAAUUUCACCUUUCGGUUUCUGUGACCUUGCAAUUUCAAUAACAAAAGUUCAAGUCGAAAAUUUACCAGAUUAACGUCGAGUAAUAACAGUGCCUACGUGAAAAUGUCCAGUGAACAGGAAUGUUGGAAACGGCUGUCGGAGUUCAACGUUAAUCGAGAAACAGUGGUCGCUUUGUUGAAGGACGAGAAUUAUACCGGUUAGUUCUCAUAUUUUAUGCUUUUAACUUUUUUUAAGCUUUAGAAAUUAGGAAAAUAAAAGAAUUUGAAUAACGAUAAAGCAAAUAAAUUGGGGCAAUAGGGGGUGGGGCAUAGAUAUAUAUGUAAGUUUAUCGUGAAAAAGGAACCGAAAUAGGGAAGUUUCAAUGAGACUUAAGUGUCAGGUCAAUAAACAAAGGGUUCUGGAUCAUUUUUUAGCAAAGAUACUAAUUAUUUUUAUAGUUUAUUGGAAGCUUGUCACUGAUUAUAAGAUAAUUUCUAAAAUUUAAACCUAGAUCAUGCACAUGUUACUUUAAUAUACUUAUCUUUAGGUAGAGGAAAUUCCUUACAUAAAUAUGUUUCAAAUUUAGCAACGGAUAUCCAAUCCACACUUGAACAGGGUGUUUUUAUGUUAAUUUUUACAUAACAUUAAAAAAAAUAAUACUGCAUCAUUUUAAUAAAUGUAUGAAUCAUGUUCCAUGGCAUUAGAACCUUUUCUUUGUGGUCCCUUCUUUGUGUUUUUCAGCUUAAUGGAUAUUCUAAUUGUUCGAACAUCUAGAAUGUCAGCAAAUUUGGAUGAUGUAGCCUUUAAUAGAUGUUGCAUUGCUGGAUGAUGAAACUAUAUGAGUGAACUCAUUGCUUGACAAGUCAAUAUAUGAUAAUGCCAUACCAUCGUAGAAAUAGAAACCAUACUUAUCUCUUACCAUCACCAACCAAUGAUCAUGAUGUCAUAUUAUUUUCACCAUCGCUGGACGAUGACAAUUUAGACCAUGGUAUAUUUGUAACACGUACCUGAUGAAAUAAUAGUCUGGAUCCCAUAGAUGUAAGCUUGACCAGCAAUUGCAUUGCAAAUUUGGAAAAAUGUCAUGGAAUGGUAACCUAUCAAUAGAACCUUGAGGAAUCUCGGACUCAGUAGUGGUACAACUUCAAAUGAUUCAGUGAUGCACUGAUGGUACAACUUCAACAGAAUUAUCCAACUGAUGUGUUAUUGAUGAAGAAAAUGAUGAUGCAGGCAUAUAACAGUGCUAGUAGUGAAUUUAUUAGAGCUGUUUAAAAAAUAAAAUACAUUAUAUGCUGGAAUUUUUUUUAUGAAAUCAUCAAAUACCACAUGUAUCAGGCAUAAUUUGUUUCAGUCGAUGAAUCAAUAACAUAAUGACAUUUUAUUAUUUGGCUCCAGUAACAUCCAGUGGCAAAUAUUUCAAGCAUAUUCAGGAUGAAAUAUACAACAUGUAAAUGCAUAAUUUGAUAUGCCAUGUGCCUGUUUUUUACAAAUGAACUCAGUCUCAGGAUGGGUAGUCAAUUCCUGUUGCCAGUUUGAUAACUUGUGUUAAGAUAUUUAGUUGAAUACCAAUAUUACAAAACUCAGCUGAAAAAUGAGAGAAUAAUGAAGAUAAAACAUAGAUCGUGAGGUAAAAACUUGGGAUUACCUUCAAAUGGGAGCCAUUUUGGAUCAAAAUGGCCACCAUUGAGAGUUCAACUGUCAUAAUUCAUUCAAAACCUGAUACCUUGUAUUAAAACAAACAAUUUGAUACCAACAUUGCAAAAAUCAGUUGAGAAAUGACUGAGUAUUGAUGAAAAAUGUUUAAUCGAAACAGAAAAACUCCGAAAUGGGAGCCAUUUUGAAUCAAAAUGGCUACCAUUUUGAGUUGUAUUGUCACAAUUCAUUCCAAAAUUGGUACCUUGUGUUAAGACAAACAAUUUGAUACCAGCAUUGCAAAAAUCAGUCAAAAAAUGACAGAGUAAUAUGACAAAAAGCAUUUAAUCGGGAUAGAAAAUCUAGAAAACGGGAGCCAUUUUGAAUCAAAAUGGCUACCAAUUUGAGCUGGUUUGUCCCAAUACAAUAAAAAAUUGGUACCUUGUAUCAAGACAAACAAUUUGAUACCAGCAUUACAAAAAUCGGUCAAGAAAUAUGAGAGUAGGACUAAAAAAUGUAUAAAUUUCAUUCAAAAGUUAUGAAAUUGGCGGC